AGAAUGUAACAUCACCUAGGUGCUGGAUCCAGUGAUGUCACAAUUCUUACUGAGAGCAGGGUCCAGGGAGAAGAGUCACAUCACUUCAAGGUUGGCACAGGUCUUCACAAUAGAAGCAUUUUGGCACAUUGCAGAGUCCAGCACUCAGGAUAUGCGACAUUCCUCUCUUUCCUGUACCCACAAAUGAGGAAUUUUGACUUAUUUCUUGGCUUAGCAACCUGAUUAUGUUACUCUUCUGCCUGAGUUUAGCCUGAAGAGGAAAUUAUGGCAUAUUGCAUAUUGCUGUGCACAGGACCCUUAUGAUGUGACUCUCUUGUCAUUACUGAAGCUACUGAAGGUAACAGAUGGUAACAGUAGGUGAUUACAAUGGUUCUAAUAAAGACUACACUGCUUCCAGCCUACAUGUGGAAUUUUGAUAUCUACCUGGUCCACCUUGAAGUGAUAAGAUUAUUCUGCCUGGACUCUGUUCUCGAUAAGAAUUGUGACAUCAGUGGAUCAACUA